rnacentral:RNase_P_RNA from 1 species
GAGGAAAGUCCGGGCUCCACGGAAACGACGGUGCCGGAUAAUGUCCGGCGAGGGUGACCUUAGGGAAAGUGCCACAGAGAGCAAACCGCCGAUGGUCCUUUAAGGGACACAGGCAAGGGUGAAAGGGUGCGGUAAGAGCGCACCGCGCGACCGGUAACGGAAGCGGCAAGGCAAACCCCACCCGGAGCAAGACCGAAUAGGGACUGCGCGCCCGCAAGGGCAGGCCUGUUUCGGGCCGGCAGUCCGGGUUGGUCGCUUGAGCGCGCCCGGCAACGGGCCGCCUAGAGGAAUGGCUGCCGGUGCGGAUACGGUCGACUUGUGCGAUACCGUCCGCGCCACAGAACCCGGCUAA